GGGUUCAUGGGACCAUUUCUAGUCCACAGAAAAAUGUAUUAUUCUGCUGAUACCCUUGACACUGUCAGUCCAGAAUCAGUUUGUUUUUAUUAAAAAUUAAUCUUAAACAUAGUUGAUUUUGUAUUUUAACCUAUGUUCAACCUGGAUUUUGUCAUGAAAAUAGCCAUAGAAGCUGGCAUGGUGUUAAAAACAAAUAAACAGGUAGUACACUUGUAGAAUUUUAGCAGCACACACCACUGAUAGGCAAGUAUUCUAAUGUCUCAAUUCAUCUUAUUAAAAAUAGGAAGCGCUGAAUAGAGUUUGACACUCCAUUCAAGAAUAACACUAAGCAUGUAUUAGGUAGGAGAUACUGUUAAUUGCGAUUAAUCAUGCUACAUUCAAAUGUAAAAUAUUAUUAUAAAUAUAUUUAUGGCAAAUAUAUUUGCUAUACACUGAUGACCCUAAACAUUAUGACCACUUACAAGUAAAGCGAAUAACGUUGAUCAUCCUAAAGGCUGUGACACGCCGUUGUUGAGCGUCUGUCGGCCUAGUUUUUGUGGCGCAUUCUGCACCAUUGGCACUAGUCGGACCACCGUCGUCGGCUUUUCGGCCAAUUGAGCAUGUUGAAUCACGCCGGAGCCCAUCGGUUAGACAGAUCAGUCUGAUUGGCUGUUCAGCUUAGCGAAUCAGUACACGAGAAGAAGAACGGAAAUGACUAAAGCAAGCAAACAACGAAAUCAAGAGGGGGCACACACAAAAGGCUCUUCUCAUUUUUCAUCUUCAUCUCGUCUGAGCAUUCCAAUAUGCAAAUAUUUUCAUAAUGACAUGGCCAUCUGGAAUGAAGAAACUGAAGACCAACUGAUCAUCAUGACUGAGGAGAGGCCAGCUCUGUACGACAUUGCAGAAAAACGUUAUGCCAACUGAGUGGUGAAAGCAGAACUCUGGCGUGAGAUCAAAAACAAACUUGUUAUAUCAGGUAAGAUUUUCUUUUUGGCCAUUGAGCUCUUUAGCAGAAACAGUUCAUAAUUGUUUGUUAUUGUUUGCUAGUGCACUGUAAAUAUAGUUUUAUUUUUCUGUUUAGCAAAAUAAGCCAGGCUUGUUUUGGUUAUGGAACUGGCAGUUGCUGUGUUACAUGCUAGCGUCUUGAAUCUGUCCUGUCUCAACAAGAGCAAAAAUAACCUUUGUUGGCACUGCAUAUAGACAUGAAUUUGACAUGCUAACACAAUGCUUACAAAACAUGACCUUUUCUUUCAGAGAAAGAGCUCAGAAAGAGGUGGGAUUCUCUGCAAACACAGUAUAUACGGUACAAGAAACUUGCACCCUCAGGAAUUUUGGAGCGUAGAAGACUGGCAGGCAGCAAUGGAUUCUGAGCCGGCUACAGUUUUUAGAGCCCCACACAAAAAGACCACUUCCAACCUAACUAUCAGGGAACCUUCGGCUGCUGAUGAUUCCCAUUCACCCUCAGAUGGCACCAGCAGUGACACCUGGACAGUACCCCUGAAGAGCCCAGCUUCUUUGAGGCUGAGCCAAGGCCCAGCACUCCCCUAGCAGAAUCCACCAUCAGUGGAGAAGAGUCCACAGCCAUCAGAGAGGAGCCUUUGCCAAGCACCUCCAGCCAGUCAAGCACUCCGAGGUCACGGGUGAAGCGCAGAAAGAUGCUAGAUGAGUCUGCCAGUGAGGAAUCGACAUACUUGAUGCACACCAUGAGUGAAACCCUGGAAAGAUAACAGCCAUAGAACUGAAACCAAGGCCAACUUCUGGAAACCAAGUUUGUCAGUAUUUUACAGAUUUCCUUUGCAUACAUGUACACACUUCCUAUAUUCUGCACCACUGAAAAGGCGCCGCACCAAUGUCAGAAUUAAAUUAAUGGCAUAGAUCAUCCCUGUGCUGCUUGGCUCGUGUUGUAGCAUUGGUUGUGUGUGGCAAGGAGGCCUGCCGUAGGUUAGGGUCUUGUCUCCAUCUUCCUGGGACAGUGUCAUGAUCCAGUCCUUUCUGGUCGAUUCCCGCAAUGUAUAGCUCGCAGCACUCGGUCCACAGGAAGUUGUGCAGAGCACAGCAAGCCAAAACAGUGUCCUCCACUUUGGUAGUGUCUUGAAUGUUAAUGGUGGUUAGACUCAAACGGUUCGCUAGGAUGCCAAAAGCAUUUUCUACCACCCUCAGAGCGUGCAUCAGCCUGUUAUUGAAGAUGCGUUGCUCUACAUGUAGCCUGCGGUUUGGCUAUGGCUUCGUGAGGUGCUCCAAGGGAAAUGCCUCAUCUGCCACAAUGCAACAAGGAGCCAGCUGGUCAGAUGCAGGAAGUGGUUCAAGGGCAGGGAUGUUGGAUGUUCUAUUCACCAGGGCAUCCUGCAGUGAGCAUCCACCAAACACUCUGCCAUCUGAAAUCCGCCCAUUGCAACCAACAUCUACGUACAGGAAUCUGUAACUGAUGUCAACCAGUGCCAUUAGAACUAUGGAAAAUGUAUGCUUGUAGUUGAAGAAUGUUGACGUGUUUUCCAUCCAGAGCACCCAGGCAGUUUGGGAAGUUUCACGGAGCCUGGAAUCCAUCGGCUACUUGCUGCCACUCUUCCACUGUGGCUGGGCACUGAAAAACAAGAAAAUAAAAUAUAAAACACAUGAAGGCUAGUUUCAUAUGUCAGCUAAUUUCGCAUGUCAGACCCUUGAUAACUUGUAGUCAUGUGGCCAUGUGUUGCGGUCCAAAUGCCUACAAACUGCACUAUAAACUUCAAAGUAUCAAAAAAAGAAAACCAAUAUAACACACACACAUUCAGGUAUUUCUCUUUUAAUACCUGGUAGAUUGCUGCGCAGGUUUCAGGAACUAAUUGUUGAUACUCGGAACUGGUAAGAAAGUCUCUUGAAGCUUGGUCAGAGCAUCUCUGAAAUGGUAAGGCUUGUGGGGUGCUCCCAGUCAGCAGUGAUGAGUACCUACCAACAGUGGUCCAAGGAGGGACAAACAGGCGACAGGGUGUUGGGCGCCCAUGGAUCAUUGAUGCACGAGGGCAACAAAGGCUAUCCCGUCUGGUCCAAACAGAAGGUCUGCUGUGGCAUGUCACAAAGUUUUAAUAAUGGUUACUGGAGGAAUGUUACAUCGCACCCUGUUGCGUAUGGGGUGCGUAGCCGCAGACCGGUCAGAGUGCCCAUGAUGAUCUCUGUCCACCGUUGAAAGCGCCUACAAUGGGGACGCGAGCAUUGGAAGUGGACCUUGGAGCAGUGGAAGACGGUCCAAUAAGUCCCAUUUUCUUUCGCAUCACGUGGACGUCUGUGUACGUAUGUGCCAUUUACCUGGGGAAGUGAUGGCACCAGGAUGCACUGUGGGAAGAUGACAAGCCAGUGGAGGGAGUGUGAUGCUCUGGGCAAUGUUCUGCUGGAAACCCUGGGUCCGGCGAUUCAUGUGGACAUCAAUUUGACACAUGCCACCUACCUAAACAUCGUUGCAGACCAGGUACACCCCUUCAUGGUAAUGGUAUUCCUUGGUGGCAGUGGCCUCUUUCAGUAGGAUAAUGUGCCCUGCCACACUGCACACAUUGUUCGGGAAUGGUUUAAGGAACACUAUGAAGAGUUCAAGGUGUUGCCCUGGCCUCCUAAUUCCCCAGAUCUCAAUCCGAUUGAGCAUCUGUAGGAUGUGCUGGACCAACAAGUCCGAUCCGCAGCGGCUCCCUCGCAACUUGCAGGACUUGAAGGAUCUGCUGCUAAUGUCUUGGAGCCAGAUACCACAGGACACCUUCAGGAGUCUUGUGGAGUCCAUGUCUCUGUGGGUCAGUGCUGUUUUGGCGGCACACGGAGGACCAACAGCAUAUUAGGCAGGUCUUCAUAAUGUUUUGGGUCAUCAGUGUAUGUCUCAAAGAACUUGCAAUAAAUUAGAUAAUUAAAAAGAAAUGAUGACUAUUUAAAUGCGCAACAUUGUUUGCCACCUUGCAUCAAACACCAGUCCAAGUAUACGAAGAUGUAAUCCAAUUAUCCAGGUGCGUAGGUCCAAAAAUGUGCAAACGAAAGGAAUGAGUCCGCACUCAAAAAUGGGCUAAAUCUCACAUCAAUUUAUUUAUACAGUAGCCCCAACAGAGCAAAAAAAGUGCCAAGUGCAGCAGCAAAACAUUUUCUGGUUUACCCCUUCAUCAGUGCUAAAUACCUAUAAGCGCACACCUGCAAUCAUUUCUAGUACAAGCCGUUACCGUAAACAUUCUAAUAUUAAGCAUGUAACUGGUUCAAACGUCAAGACACGUAGUUGUAUACAUUCCUAGAAGCAUUGCUUGUAUCUAUAAAUAAUAACAUAUUACAUUUUAGUAUUAGAUAUACAUUAUUUCCCAUUGAUAUAAAGAAAAGUACUUUUUGUACAUUGAUAUAAAAAGGAAUUUCAGUACAGCCCCACUGUUUCUGUUUUCGCCUGAUUAUGCGUGGUUAUUCAUGGGAUACCAAGAGGAGAGAGAUAUUUGGAAUAAUAACCUGUUCUCACACCAUAUAAUCAUGUGGAAAAGAUAUGUGGAUGUUUUUUUUUUUGCAUUUUUAAGGGUCCAAGGAAUGUUUUUUUUUUUUAUUUUUAUUGUUGACUCAAUUAGAUUUAAUGCAGAGAUUGACACCCACUCGUUUUCGUUUCUUGAUACAAAAGUCAUAUUUGAAUCUGGUACUCUUUGGACUACUUUAUAUACUAAACCCAUGGAUAAAAAUAGUGUUUUACAUGCAUCGAGUGCGCAUUAUCUUAAGAAGGGGUUACCAUACACACAAUUUCUUCGGCUGAAGCAUAUCUGCACUUUAGAAUCCGAUUUGGAAUACAAAGUUGUACAAGCAAUUAUGUUUAAGGGGAUAUUCAAAGAAGUGUCUUGAUGCAACUGAUAGUCAGUGUAUGGGAUGCAUUACGCACUAAGAAGGACAAACCUUUUUCUGUUGUGUGUACUACUACAUAUUCAGCGUAUAGUCAAGAAAUUAAGAACAUAAAGCAUUGGCAUACACGAUCACUCGAUAAUAUAUGCGCUACAUUAUUUUUUGAUCCUCUGCUCUUUUCCCAUUAUAGAUUGAACAAUAUUAGAGAUUUAGUUAAACCUGAUACCUUUACCACACGGAACGUGACAGAUGGUCGUUUAAGUAAAGACAUUACUUGUCUUAACUGGACUGCGUGUAAGAAUGUGCAUAGAACUUCCUCUUUUAAAAGUUUGUUAACAGACCGUACAUAUAAAAUAAUUUGUCACAUGUGCUUCCGAAAACUUGAUUUAUUUACUUUCAUGUCCUUGAAACAAACGGUAUGUUGGCAAAACUUAGACGGAUCAAGUGACACUAUACAUACAUAUAUAAACCAAAUUAAAUGCUGGAGAUUAAUUUGUUAAAGUUUAAAAUCUCAAAACUAUUAUUUUUUUCUGGCUGCUCUAUCACGAACAUUUUUGUCUCUUGCGAGGUUUUGCUUUUGAUACUGGUUCAGAUGACUGUGAGUGUUUUUGGGCAAUGUGAAGAGAGAUGGCAGCUUGCCAGUAUCUCUCCCACACUUGUCUCACCACUUGCGGGUAAAGUCUCCUUUCUCUGUACAGUAAAUCCGCUUCCGUGUUUAUUAUGUCCGGGAAUUAGUUGCGCGUAAUGAAUAAGCAUGCACUGCUGCACCCAUUUAGUUUCUGUGUUGGGAUGUGCAGUCAAGUCGAACGUGUACCUAAUGGAAAUUUAUAUAUGGCAAUUUUAGCCACACAAAUUGGGGAAAAACAUUAGUGAAGUGGGGGGAAAAAAAAUGGAUACUGCAUUAAUUGCGUUAAUGUUUUAACCCAUUAAACAGUCAACUAUUAAUCGCAGAAAAUAAAUUUAAAUUUCUCAGCCCUAAAAUACUGUAUAUUAUGGGGGAAUGGCAGGAAUAUUGUCUUCAGGCAAUUUUGAUUGCAAAUGUUUACUGAAAAAGGAAGUGUUAAACAAAUCUUGGACUCCAAAUUCUGUUUAAAGAGGGAUUUUUCCCACCAUCUCCUUCCUUCCUUGUGAGAAUUGUUAAACAUGAAGUUGACACUCUUGUUUAAGUGAAAUCUGAUCCAUUGU